rnacentral:sRNA from 1 species
CGUGUAGUUAACCUAAAUAUUCUCUUGUAUAUAUAUCAAGGUGUAAUCGUAUGAAAUCAAUAAGAGAAAACGUUCAUCUAACCUAGCCGCUUCUAGUUUCUACAGUCAAUUUCAGAGCUCUAGAGAUAAUCUUCAUCUUCAUUGAACUUUAACCUCAAAAAUUUUCCUAAAUAAAUUGAAAGCAGUUUUCAACCUCAGGCUUCAUUAGAAAACAAGCCAAAAGUCGGAGAUAGAGGCACGCCAAAAACAGAGCUAGGCAAAGCUACUGAAGAAGCUGGCAAUGCCGGAAGAGAGCCGGCCAAUGCCACUACGGAAGCUAAUCGAUGCCGAAAGAGAAGGCGUCGCUAAAGAAAUAGAGCGAUGUCGGAAAAGUGAGGAUUUCUCUCUCUCAAAAGUUGAGAGCGAGAAUAUUUUUUCCAACCAAUAAGCACAAAACAAAGUUCGCCUAGAGGAAAAUAACCCUAAAAGUCGAACCGAAUGAUUUCACCUAAUUUUGAAUUUUCGGGUAAGUCCGGUUCAAAUUCAAUUUCGGAAAUAAAAUUAUUAACCGGAUACACUUACAAAUUCGGAUCCUACAAAUUCUUGAACUUUUAUCACUUAUGCCACUUUUUUGAAAAAACUGAUCUGGACUGCCAUCAGUUAAUCUGAAUGCUACCGAAAAUGUGAUAUACCAGUUGUACCCUUAAUGAGUUGAUUAAAAAAAUGAAAAAGAAAUUCAAAAGCUAAAUAAAGAAAAUCGAGAUCCUCAGUUCUCUCUCCUUCGUCGUCGUGUUCUUCUUCUUUCGCCGACGUUCAUCUUCUUCGUCGGCCACCAUCGAUUCUGGCCGCCGCCGACUUGAAAUCCGUCGUAAAAGGCAACGAAUUAGGUCAGUUUCUUCUCAUAUUUCCUUUGACAUUGGUGCAUUGUGAUUUUAGAUUGGGAUUUUGAAUUAUAUAUAAUUCCCAAAUUCAAUUUGAUAGUUUGAUGAUUGGUUUGCAAAGUAAAGAGUAAUCGAUUAGAGGUUGCCGAAACGUUAUUUGAGGUGAUGAGCAAAGAAAUGUAGGUUGAAUGUGAGUUGAAUUUGAAUUCCGAGAUUUCAUAUUAAAGAUUUGGGGGUUUGUGUUUGCAAAGUUUAGAUUAACCAAUUAGUUUAACGAAUAGGUAUGUAUUAACAUUGGAAAUCAAUUGAAAGGUAACGAAUUAGGUUCAGUAGAAUCGAGUGCGACGAGAGAUUGAUUUCAACGUAUGAUAAGAGUACAUGUGGUAUAACUAUUAAAAUGUUUGAUUGGAGUUGAACUGGUUGUAUUUUGAGGAGCGAUGAAGAAGAAGAUCCACACUAAGGUACAUUUUGAUUUGGAGGAUACUAUUUUGAAGUGAAUGAGUGGAUUGGUAAAAAUUCACUAUAUGCUAUAUCGUUUAAGACGAGUAGUUUGGAGAAGAUAACAUAUUCGAUGUUAGUUGACAAGAUCAUGAAGAAGGUUGCCAUUGAUGAAGCUUUUGUGAAGUUGAAACUGAGUUACAAUCUGUCUAAAGUUAGGAGAGAGACAUAUAUUGUAGAUGAUGAGGAUGUCUUCAUAUUUUUAACAGAAUCUGAUGAAGAGAGUCGGAUUUUGCAUGUGGAGGAAUUAAAUGGUAUAGGAGUUGAGAGGAGAGAGGAAAUUUCUGUACCGGAGCGUCGAAGUUCAGUUGGUGUAAAUGUAAGAGAGGAUGAUGUUUUAAAUGAAGUAUGUGAGAUGGUGCAUGAGGGAUAUGAUAAUGAUGUGAAUGAUUGUGAGAAUGUAGUAGGUACGGAGAUCGUGGCUGUCGAAAGGCCGAUGGAAAGGCCGGUGAAUUCUGUUGAGGAAGAAGAUGAGGAUGAUAGGAUUGAUUAUGAUGAUAUUCACGAUAUUCCACGAAGUGUAGAAGUUACUCCGCAGGUUAUAGAAUGGGAUGAUGGUACGGGUAUUGAAAUUGGUCAAGAAUUUUGUUCAAGGGAGGCUGUGUGGGAAUUGGUUAACAGAGCUGCAAAGCAAGAAGUUUUUGGAGUCUAUACUAUUAAGUCAGACCCGUUGAGACUUAUGCUACGAUGCCGCCAAGCUUCUAAAGGGUGUACUUGGUAUCUAAGAGUUGCGAGAACUAAGAAAUCUCAUUUUUGGAGUGUUAGAGUGCAUAGAAAGAUGCAUACAUGCUCUCGGAGUGUUGAGACUACAAGCAACAGUAUACAGCGAGGCACACCAAGAUUAAUAGCAUCGGUUUUGCAUUGUGACUAUCCCAGAAAUUUAAAGACCCCAACUCCAAAAAACAUUAUGUCGAUUGUAAGAGGAAGACUUGGGGUGCAUUGUUCAUACUCCACUGCCUUAAGAGGCAAAAUGCUACAUGUUAGUGAUGUGCGAGGGACUCCGGAAAGAAGCUACACGAUGUUAUUUUCUUAUCU